UUUGAGGACAAUUGUUCAAGUGAGAAGAGGGCUGUGCAGAUCUCAAGAUGACAUCGGGAUCCUGAUGUGAAGUUUUCCUGCUUCUGGAGGAGGGAAGCAGAGGGCUGUUUUGCCUCCUCUGGGCCAGGGAUGCAUGGAAUGGCAGAGGUGGGGGCUCCCAGCUAUGGUGACUGGGAGGGCAGGUCGGGGUCCCUGGAAGCAGAUCCUGAGACAAAGUCCCCUGUGCAAGAGAUUUAUUUCAAAGGUGUGCCCAGCAUUCCAUUGUGUAAGGAUAUCGGAGGAUGCAAGUCCCCAAGACCUCCCCGACACUGC
rnacentral:lncRNA from 1 species